rnacentral:rRNA from 1 species
UACGAAGGGUGCAAGCGUUACUCGGAAUUACUGGGCGUAAAGCGUGCGUAGGUGGUUUGUUAAGUCUGAUGUGAAAUUCCCGGGCUCAACCUGGGAAUGGCAUUGGAUACUGGCAGGCUAGAGUGCGGUAGAGGGUGGUGGAAUUCCCGGUGUAGCAGUGAAAUGCGUAGAGAUCGGGAGGAACAUCUGUGGCGAAGGCGGCCACCUGGACCAGCACUGACACUGAGGCACGAAAGCGUGGGGAGCAAACAGG